UUUGCUGGUCGCCAUCGUGGGCGAUCGGCCCUGAAAUUCUGAGGAGAACGGACGUGGCUCGUAUCGCUGGCGUCAACAUCCCGACC
rfam:Aurantimonas sp. TSBA 369 genome assembly, contig: Ga0111599_106